AGACAACAAAAUGUUUAAUAUUAUUAUUUUGUCACCUUAGGUCGAUCGGUAUCUCACAUCCUUAAUUUAUCAAGGAUUUCAUUUCCUAAGUUUUUCUAGGUCACACCCAUUUUUUUCCUGGGCCAUUAGCUCAGGUGGUUAGAGCGCACCCCUGAUAAGGGUGAGGUCCCUGGUUCAAGCCCAGGAUGGCCCAUAUCUCUAUGUUGGGGGUAUAGCUCAGUUGGUAGAGCGCCUGCUUUGCAAGCAGGAUGUCAGCGGUUCGAGUCCGCUUACCUCCACUGAUUACCACCUCUUCCAUAAUCUGUAAGAAGGAAAAAUUUUUGAGUUGUGACCAAAUUCUGAACGAAUCUAGCUUCCUAAUGAAAUCAUUAAGAUGCUGGACUCAUUGAAUUAAUUUCAUUGUUUUCAGAGAACCUUGACAACUGCAUAGAUUAUUUUUUAAAGACAAUAAGCAUCUUUAACGAUGCAGAUUUAUUAUUUGUGCGAAUGCAUUAAUAACAAUUCUAUUAAGCUGAUGCUUCAAUUUUUGAAGUUAUU
rnacentral:tRNA from 1 species